ACCGUGCUAAGGUAGCGUAAUAAUUCGCCCUUUAAUUGUGGGCUUGAAUGAAUGGGUUAACAAGAAUAAUUCUGUCUCUAGAAUAUAUUUAUAAUUUGGUGUUCAGGUGAAAAGACUUGAAUUUUUAUGCAGGACAAAAAGACCCCAUAGAGCUUUACUUUAUAAGAUUAAAUAAGAGUAUAAUUUUUUUUAGAACUUGUAUUAGGUCAUAAAAAGUUUAACUGGGGCGGUUUAGGAAAAUUUAUCUUCUUUUUUUAAUAAAACUGAAUAGAGUGUUUUAAGGAUCCUUUAAAAGAUUAAAAGAGUAGCUACCUUGGGGGUAACAGACUAAUUUUUUUUAAGAGUUCAUAUUGACAAAAAAGUUUGGCACAUCGAUGUUGGCUUAGGGUAACCUUAAGAUAGUAACAGUCUUUUAUGGUAGGUUUGUUCAACCUUUAAAUCCCUACAUGAUCUGAGUUA
rnacentral:rRNA from 1 species